rnacentral:lncRNA from 1 species
UUCCUUCAAGCACGUGGACUGACACCCAGGCCUCCUGGUGUCCUGACACUGCAGACUCCUGGAAUAUACCUCCACCAGCAGGCAGGAAUCUGUCCUAUUCCCAGCAACCACUAGAGGCACUGCCUGACCCUACUGCAGCCACAAGCAGAGGGACCCCAGGAUUCUCAACUCUGUUACCUUGUCUCACCUCCCCUAGGAAGCAGAAGAGUGCUAUGAAAUCUCUUAGCUUAGACUCAUAUGAAAGAAGCCUUUGGAAAUCAAAAACUCUGAUCUCUGGAUUUCUGCCAUGAGAGA